rnacentral:rRNA from 1 species
CCUACGGGAGGCAGCAGUAAGGAAUAUUGGUCAAUGGAGGCAACUCUGAACCAGCCAUGCCGCGUGCAGGAAGACUGCCCCUAUGGGUUGUAAACUGCUUUUAUCCGGGAAUAAACCUACUUACGUGUAAGUAGCUGAAUGUACCGGAAGAAUAAGGAUCGGCUAACUCCGUGCCAGCAGCCGCGGUAAUACGGAGGAUCCAAGCGUUAUCCGGAUUUAUUGGGUUUAAAGGGUGCGUAGGCGGCCUGUUAAGUCAGGGGUGAAAGACGGUAGCUCAACUAUCGCAGUGCCCUUGAUACUGAUGGGCUUGAAUGGACUAGAGGUAGGCGGA